AGGGUGUGAGUCUAAUAUGGAAGCUGCCUAAGAACAAGAGGAAUCGCAAACAUAAGCAUGGAUAGAUCAUCGUAUUUUUCCUUUCUAUGGUCACUCCUGGUACCACUGACCAUCUGUGAAGAGAGAGCCUGCCUUAUUAUGCUGCUGUUGUGUGUGGCUGUCAAAUUUAUUGCCAGAUACUCAGAGCAGCAUCCCUGGCGUCUGCUCAUCGCAUUACAGUAUCUCCCCCAAAAUGUGGCAGUCAAAAAUGUCUUCAGACCUUGUCAGAUGUCCUCGGUGGGGCACACUUUCGACAGUUGAGAACUACUGUGUCAGUUUAAAGAUUUUCUGAGGAUGAAAGGUUGUAUGUUUGGUGCCCCAGGAAGUAGAUUCUGAGAGAAAAUUGGGAUGAAGAUGUUGUACGCAGAGGUGGUGCUGCAAUUACACCUGUGAAAAGAAAGGAGGGGUGCGGACUCAGAAAAGGGAAGACUUUGCCAUGAAUCUCAGACCUACCAACAUCACACAGAACUCCAUAACAGGAAAUUCUUCUACAGCGUCCCAGGUUUGGCACAAGCUUUACAUUCCUGUGUCUCCUGAUCCUUGGAUGCAGACUUCCCUGGGAAAAGCCAUGGUUUUAGCCAAACAUGGUUCAAAAGUGUCUCAUCUUCUGUCGCUACUUCCUAUCAAUACAGCCCCCUGAACUCACAAGCAAGUUUUCAUCAUCCACAAUCUUCCCUCUCCAAUAUCC